rnacentral:rRNA from 1 species
UACGUAGGUGGCGAGCGUUAUCCGGAAUGAUUGGGCGUAAAGGGAGCGCAGGCGGCGAGUUAAGUCAGCGGUAAAAUUUCGGGGCUCAACCCCGACAAGCCGUUGAAACUGGCUUGCUAGAGUGGGCGAGAAGUAUGCGGAAUGCGUGGUGUAGCGGUGAAAUGCAUAGAUAUCACGCAGAACUCCGAUUGCGAAGGCAGCAUACCGGCGCCCAACUGACGCUGAAGCACGAAAGCGUGGGUAUCGAACAGG